CGUCUCUGUCCUUUCGACCACGCUGCUGGAAUGGUGAUGAGAUGCUUGUAAUUAAUUUACCAUUACUUUAAAUUUAUUAAGUUCGGGCAUUAUUAAUACUGUGAAAAAAGAAAUAUUCAGAAAUGGAAGAAAAUAAAAAAGUAAUAACUCGAUUGGUUUUAUCCGAAAACGAAGCCGUAGUUAGAGAAGGUAGUCGAAUCUUAUGCGAAGUUACGAAUAUUGAAAGCAAUGAGAGAUCGUACAUGUUCAUUGAGCAACAUUUAGUGCUGAGGUGGCAAGAAGAAGAAGAAAAAAAUAAGAAGAAUGGAAGAAUUGGAAAAAUCCUCUUCCAAAAACAGUACGGUGACACUUGACAUAAAGCCGACACAACCGUCAAAACAUCAAACUGACGAUCAGAGUGGUAAUCAGCAUCCGCCCGCUCCUGCGAUCGAAAGUCAAUUUUCUGGCACAUCAGAAAAUGAAGUGAUGCCCAUUGGCAAGGAUAAUACUGAUGAUAAUGUUAUUACGGAUGACGUGGAUAAUAAAAAAGAUGACAAUAUUCUCACGGAUGACGAUGUUGAAGAUUCGCCUGAAAUCUAUUUUGACUGUCAAGAUUCUGUUCCAGAACCCAUAUUAUUUAAAUAUGAAUGGAGAAAAAAGAAAAUUGAAUUUUCUUUCUAAAUGUCAGCGACAAGAAAUUAACCAACUUUUAAAAAAUAACCAAGCUGCUGGAAUUAAAACAAAUCUUUCUGAAAUUGCGAGAAAGUAUGAAGUAUCAUUGUCAACAAAUCGGAGAAUAAGAAAUCUUAGCAAAAGAGAUCAUAUAAAAGCUAUGGAGAUAGAUGAAAAAUCUUAUCUUCAUAAGCGUAAAAGAAUGACUAUCAAAAAAUCCACUUUUGGAAGAAAUUCUUUAUAACUGGUUUAAAGAAAAAAGAUGUGCCGGACAACCAGUAUCAGUGGAAAUUUUAAAAGAAAAGGCCUUAAUUAUAAAUAAAGAAAUAAAAGGUGAACCUACAUUUAAAGCUAGUAUUGGGUGGUUUUGUAGGUUUCAAGAUAGGUAUAAAAUUUGGUCAUGCAGCAUGCAAGGAGAAAAAAUGUCUGCUGACAUUAAAACCUGUGUACAAUUUGUUGACGAUUUGGCAAACAAAAUAAGAGAUAAUAAUUUAGAAUUACAACAAAUAUAUAAUGCUGACGAAACUGGUUUAUUCUGGAGAUUGCUACCAUCCUUGACUUUUAUUUGUAAUUUUGAAAAGAGUACAUAUGGUUUUAAGGUGUCAAAAGACAGAGUUACUCUCAUGGUUUGUGCUGAAGUUUUUUCCCAUGAGCUAUGUAAAUAUGAAAAUGGGACAACAAUAAUUUUGUGAGAAACAGAAUAUUAAUCUAGGUGGUGCCGAUAACGGGUAUACCUAAAGAUCAUCUUCAAGGAUUUAGGUAGGCACCGGCUGCUUUCAUAUUCUGUUUCUCACAAAAUUAUUGUUGUCCCAUUUUCAUAUUUACAUAGCUCAUGGGAAAAAACCUCAGCUUUCCAAUGAAAAUAAAAAAAAUAAAAAAAAAAAUUCCCGAAGGGGUGAAAAUCGAAAAAUAAGGGUUGAUUUUGAAAAAAAGGGGUUAAAAUUUUUUUUUUUUAAUUUUGUAUACAUUUUUGAAAAGUACGUGAAAAAUUCAUUAAAAUUCAUUAUAGAUAAAUUAACAUCCAUUAACUUUUGUCAUAGUUAUAGGGAUUUGAAAAUGACAAUGUUACCCUUAACGUCAAAACUUCAACCCCCUCUACUUUCUACAAAUAUUUUUUUAAUGAGUUUAUAUUUUAGGGAUUUAUUACUAUCAUAUAGGACAACAAUUUAUUAAAGUAUGAAGCCAAUCCCAGAACAUUGAAUUUUUGGGCUGGGGCGAUUGAAAAAAAAUCUCUCAUAUUUGUAUUAUAUUGUCACUAAAAUAUUUUUUUAAAUUUUAAAUGCAAAAAUUUUUUUUUUAAGUACAAAAUCUUUUACCUAACGUUACAUCUUUAAUCCAACCGAUGGAUCAAGGAGUCAUUGCGAAAACCAAGCAAUUUUAUAGGAAGAAGCUUUUAAGAGAACUUAUUUAAGAAGAAGAUGAACCAUCUCUUAUUAAUUUUCUAAAAAAAUAGAAAUGUGCUGAAUUGCAGUAUUCAAAUUGAUCGAGCUUGGAGUAAUGUAACUGCAACUAAUAUAUGUAGAUAGUGGAGGAAAUUGAUACCUGGAUGUGACAUUACAACAUGGGAUAAAACGGAUGUGACGGAAGAUGAUAUUCUUCAAAAUUUAUAUAGACUUCCUGGGUUUGAAGAUGUCAGAACCGAGCAAGUAUCAAUGUAGCUCCAAGUUGAUAGUUUAGAACCAGGUUGGAAUGUUAGGAACUUACAUCAAACCAUUCAAAGAUCACUAGGUCAAGAACAUACAGAUGGAACUGACAAUAAAGAAAGUGAUGAAGAAAAUGAUGAGCAAAGUGAACCAAAUAUUGAAGAAGAAAUAGAAACAGGAAAUAUUAUAGAUGAGGCAACAGCAGCCUUCAAUGGAUUACAUUUAUUUCAAAAAUGGUAUCAAAAAAAGUGGGAAUGUGAUUCCAAGGAUCUACUCCAAUUUAAAAAAUUAAAUGAAGCUUCAAAAGAUGUUUUACAUCAUUUAAAACAUUCAUUUACUUCUCAAAAUUGAUGAGUAAUAACUAAAUUUGAAAUAUAAUUAUUACUUUAGAUAUUGUAAAUAAUUCAUGAUUAUCGAGAUAUUUACGUAUAUGGGCAAAUCUAAAAAACAGGUAACUUUCGUGUGACUUGGGCUUAUUUUUAAUGGUACACAUUAUAUUAACCCAGUUGCUUGUGAAUUACAUAUAUUUACUGAUACUUGAAUGAUACGAAACAGUUUUUAAGUGAUUUAGUAAAUAACUUAAAUGUUAUACGAAUGUAAAUGCCAGAAAACAACAAAAAAUUAAAAAUUUGUGUGUGACUUAUCAGAUAUGUAAAAUGAAAUGUAGAAUAACUUUUGAAGCACUCCAUAUAAAUAUUUGAAAUUUUACAUGCUAUUUGUAUUUAUAAUAACAUUUCAAUUAUACUAUGUAAGUAAGUUGUGCAGUCAAAAAUAUCAAAAUGAUAAGGAACCGAAAAGAUGUGACUUUACUUUCCAUUAUUUUGAAAAGUUUCAACUUUUCGCUUGUAGUUUUUGAAGCACUUAUUUAAAAAACAUUUCGAAGUAUGCAUUGCAUUCUUCAAAUAAUUACGAAUAAAUCGGUACAUUAACAAAAGUUGUGCUUUUAAAAUAAACUUACAUUUAAAGGUAAAAUAAUCUGCUACAUACAGCGUAAACCUUUUUCCAACGACACUUUAAUUAAAGGCACACUUACAAAAUAAGUCAAAACCGCCUAAAUCUUUUUGUAAUUAUCAUUUUACUUAUUUUUACAUAUAUAUGUAAAAUGCUUCAAAAAAAUCUUUAUUAGAAAUGUAUAAAAACGUGAUUUACUGCAUCGUGUGAUUUUUCACAUAUGCAAUUUGAAGUUUACGCAAGGUUAUUUUUUAAAAAUUAGUCAAAUUCUAUGUUUUUUUUUAAUAACGAUGUUCAGACGAGUUGUCUAUUGUAACCUGUUCACAAACGUGAAAAAUCAAGAAAACACAAUGUCUGCAGGUAAUUUAAUACUCUUUUUAUAUUUUUACAAAAAUAGAGCUUUUCUAGAAUAGUAUUUACUUACUAAAAUUUUUUAAAAAGAAUAAAAAUACACUUGAAGAAAAUAGAGAAAAAAAGAAGAAUACGGGUGCAAUAACUCGUAAGCAUGGUUAUAACACAAGGCAAAAAAUUUGAGGUUAAUUUUUAUAAAUGUUUGUUUAUGUUUUUAGUUCAUAAUUUGUUAAUAAAUAAUAAUAAUAAUAAUAUAAAUCAAAUUUUGAUGAUUUUUUUAUUUAAUAUAAGCAGUUUGUGAUAUCUCUUGAUAUCUCGAAAUAUAUAGCCGUGACGUAACAAAUGCAGAAGUUUAUUUUCGGUCUAACUUUUGAAGCACUUUAUGAAAAUGAAUUACAUUUAUAUUUUCUGAUUUAUUGAACGAUUAUGAGUAAAAUGAUAUAAAAACCACAUGUGUGCUUACAAAUUUAAAAAUUUUACUUUUUUUUGUCGAAGUGUGCAUGUUUUUUAGAUUUGCCCAUAUAUUUUAUUAUUAUAAAAAAAGAAUUUAGAAAAUCCUGGCAUUAAUUUCUUUUCGAAGCGAUGAAAAAUAAUGUUGAAUUUCGUGAGGAAUUGUAGUUUUUGAUAUUAUUAUUAAUUUGCCUAGCAAAAGCAAAUACUUUUUUUUUGCUAAGAAAAAAUGAAUUUUUACUUACAAUUAGUAGACAAACAGUAUUGCGUAUUGUGUCGGGAUCCUAAAAAAAAUUUUACAUACAUUUUAAGGAAUUUAAUAACCCAUAUCGAUGAGCAAUGCAUAUUCAUUAACAAUACACUAUAGAUUAUAUAAUUUCUCUACGAUAGAACUGAAUUAUUAUUUUAUCAAAAUUUCGAAUAACAAAAAAAAUUGUACAUUUU